GAUCAGGCUCAGGAUGAACGCUAGCUACAGGCUUAACACAUGCAAGUCGAGGGGCAGCAUGGUCUUAGCUUGCUAAGGCCGAUGGCGACCGGCGCACGGGUGAGUAACACGUAUCCAACCUGCCGUCUACUCUUGGACAGCCUUCAGAAAGGAAGAUUAAUACAAGAUGGCAUCAUGAGUCCGCAUGUUCACAUGAUUAAAGGUAUUCCGGUAGACGAUGGGG
rnacentral:rRNA from 1 species